UCACAUUCUACAAUCAAAUUGUACUCGGAACUACAAGAUAUGAGAUAAAAGUUAGUAAAUCACUCCAUUUUUGUCCAACGUGCCGUCACGAACCGGUUUUUUCUAAAAAGUUAUUAUAAACCGGAUUAAAGUUCUUCAAAAUGCGUGAAAUAGUGCACGUUCAAGCUGGGCAAUGUGGAAACCAAAUAGGAUCCAAGUUUUGGGAGAUAAUUUCGGACGAACACGGCGUCGACCCCAACGGUUAUUACAAAGGGGAGAGCGACUUACAACUCGAAAGAAUAAGCGUUUACUACAAUGAAGCUGGUACAGGUAAAUAUGUACCCCGUGCGGUGUUGGUGGACUUGGAACCCGGCACCAUGGACUCAGUCAGGUCCGGGGAGUACGGACAGCUGUUCAGACCAGAUAACUUCGUGUUCGGACAGAGUGGUGCUGGUAACAACUGGGCGAAGGGUCACUACACAGAGGGCGCUGAGCUCGUCGACGCUGUCAUGGAUGUCAUCAGGAAGGAGGCGGAAGGCUGUGACUGUUUACAAGGAUUCCAGUUAACCCACUCCCUAGGCGGUGGUACAGGAUCUGGCAUGGGUACUCUACUGCUCAGCAAAAUCCGUGAAGAGUUCCCAGAUAGAAUUAUGAAUACUUUCAGUGUGGUUCCUUCUCCUAAGGUAAGCGAAGUGGUGCUGGAGCCGUACAACGCGACGCUGUCGGUGCAUCAGCUCGUAGAGAACACCGACAUGUCAUUCUGUAUCGACAACGAGGCGCUCUAUAACAUAUGUUUCCGCACGCUCAAGCUAGCCAGCCCCAGCUACGGAGACCUUAAUCAUUUGAUUUCGCUCACAAUGUCCGGAGUGACCACAUGCCUACGUUUCCCGGGACAACUGAACGCCGACCUCAGGAAGUUGGCUGUCAACAUGGUGCCCUUCCCUAGGUUACACUUCUUCAUGCCAGGUUUCGCUCCGUUAACAGCAAGAAAUGCCUUCAACUUCCGCGCACAAUCUGUACCAGAACUAAUGAGCCAGAUGUUCAACUCGGGUAACAUGAUGACGGCCGCGGACCCGCGUCACGGCCGCUACCUGACUGUGGCCACCAUCUUCAGAGGCAGGAUGUCCAUGAAGGAGGUCGAUGAACAGAUACUGGCUAUACAGAAUAAGAAUUCUAGCUAUUUCGUAGAAUGGAUCCCUAACAACCUGAAGGUGGCAGUGUGUGACAUUCCGCCGCGAGGGCUGAAGAUGUCGGCCACGUUCAUCGGCAACAGCACGGCCAUACAGGAGAUAUUCAAGCGCAUCUCCGAGCAGUUCACCGCCAUGUUCAGGAGAAAAGCUUUCCUCCACUGGUACACGGGCGAGGGCAUGGACGAGAUGGAGUUCACAGAGGCAGCCAGCAACAUGGCGGAUCUUAUCUCCGAAUAUCAACAGUAUCAGGAGGCAAGCGUGGAUGAUGAUGACGUGUUUGAUGAAGAAGAAGAGGCUCCCGAGGAGUAUAGGAUGGAACCCACCAAUAACACCAUGGAAAUGAUAUAAAAAACUAAAACUAAAAUAAAAACAACGGCAUUUUUACUAUUUUUAGUUUAUAUAUUAUCUUUUAUUUUUUUUAUCACCAUUUAUUUUCGUUUUAGUUGUAAGUAAUCGUGUUUUUUUAUUAUUACAAUUUUAAAAUUCCAAUUUGUGUUUGUUUAAAAAUCCGUGUUUGUGUUGUUUUUAAUUUAAAAUUGCGUUUUUUUUAAUUUGCCAGCAAUGCAUAAAAAAAUUGUCUGUGUAAAAAGCAGGGCUUUUUACUUUAUUUUUUAUUUUAGAAAAAAAAAUCUUGAUUAAUAGCAUGACAAACGAAAAAACGCUUUUUUAAAUUAAAAAAAAAUUAAUUGAAUUGCCUAAUUGUUAAAUGUAUCAAUCAGUAUGUCAAUUAAUGUGAUUUUUCAUAUCAUUAAUGAAAAGUGCUUGUAGUUCACAUAAGUGUUUCUAGAGCUUUCAAAUAAAUAUUUAUACAAAGUACAUACAAAACAAUUUUAAUUAUAUGUGAGUGAUUUCCAAAGAUAGCGAUCGUAGAAGCUUGAGAGGUCUAAAAUUAACAAAAACUGCAGUUCUAAGGCCCGCCGCUGAUUGUAACUUUUUGUCCCCGUGACUUUUUGUCACUGUCACCUGCUAUCACCCACGAUGCGCUCACUGAAUCUGUUCUUGGGUGACAAAUCGCGUUCAUUUUUGUAUGCCGGCUGAGUGACAAAAAGUCACCGAGUGGACUCCCAUUGUAAUGUACAGGGCGAGUGACAGUCACGUCACUCCGGCAUUGCCUGCUGCUGCAACUAUUUGUCACCAUAUUGUCACGUCACCAUAAUGAGCGCACUAGUUUUCAUUGCACUUGACUAAGUGACAAUAAGUCACGGUGACGAAAAGUUGCAAUCAGCGGCUAGCCUAACAUUGUGUAUUUUUGAUAUUAAGGCCACUAAAUGGUGAAGGAAAACAUCUUGAGGAAACCUGGACUAUAAAGUCUGAAAUUGUCAAUCCGCUGUGAGCAAGCGUGGUGAUUAACGCUCAUUCCUUCUUUGUAUGAGAAGAUGCUUAAAUUCCAAAGAAAACUCACUUUUAAUUUAAUAAUUUCUUGUAUUUCCUUUUCAAUUUUAAUUACUAUUAAUAUUAUUUUCAUAUUAGAUCAAGCUUUAAAUUGAAAAUUAUGUAGCGGUUUUUUAAAUCAAUUUAAAAAUCCGUCUUUUUUUUUAAACCGUUUUUAAGCCAUUUUUAAAUUAUAAUGUUAAUUAUUAAGCAUACGUUUGUUGAGCUGUGUUAAGCAUUAAAAUGACGCAGGAAUGUUAUCAUUUAUUAUUUUUGAAAAAUAAAUCAUAUAAAUUGUGUAAAA